AUUUUUAGAAGAAUAUAUAGAGAGAGAUUAGUGUGUGGUAACUGAUAAUACUCAACGCUCAUUUUACUGAUGCUCAGUCGUCUGCGCAAUGGCGAGCUAUUCAUUUGUCAGGGCUUUCAGCUUUAUUUUUAUUGUCACGCAUAGCUUUGCUGACAAUAGAUUAUUAUCUUUUCCUAAAGAUUUUCUAUUUGGUGCUGCUUCAUCCGCUUAUCAAAUAGAAGGAGGUUGGAAUGAAGGAGGUAAAGGCGAGAGUAUUUGGGACAAAUUUGCGCACGAACAUCCAGAUUUAAUAGUUGACGGUAGCAAUGGCGAUGUGGCUUGUGAUUCUUAUCAUAAGUAUAAAGAAGAUGUACAGUUAUUAAAGAACAUGGGAGUUGACUUUUACCGAUUUUCUAUCAGUUGGCCACGUGUCUUACCGACUGGUUAUGCCAAUGUGAUUAAUCAAGAAGGACUCGAUUAUUACAAAAAUCUUACUAACGAAUUAUUGGCCAAUGGUAUCGAACCAUUUGUUACUUUACUUCAUUGGGAUCAUCCCACUGUCUUUGAAAGCAUGGGUGGUUGGACCAAUGAAAUGAUGGUUGAAUGGAUAUCUGAUUACGCAAGAAUUAUAUUCAAAGAACUCGGUCCCAAAGUUAAAUACUUUAUGACUAUCAAUGAACCCGCUGUUAUUUGUAAUCAGGGGUACGCUAACGAUAGAAAAGCACCAGGAAAGAAAUUAGGCGCUCCCGGCAAAUAUUUGUGCAUGCACAAUAUUCUAAAAGCGCAUGCUAAGAUUUAUCAUAUCUAUGACACAGAAUUUCGAAAACAGCAGAAAGGUCAAAUUGGUAUAGUUGUAUCUUGUUCAGGCGCAUUUCCCAAAACUCCUGCUGAUACUGAAGCAGUAGAUGCAUAUUUUCAAUUUAAUUGCGGAUGGGUGGCCCAUCCCGUGUUUUCAAAGGAUGGUGAUUACCCAGAAAUUAUGAAAAAGCAUGUAGCUGAAAAUAGUAAAUUGGAUGGUUUUCCGAGAUCACUUUUGCCUAAAUUUUCACCAGAAUGGGUGCAGUAUAUUAAAGGUACAUCGGAUUUCUUUGCAUUAAAUCAUUACACUUCGAGACUUGUGGAAACAGUACCACGAAAACAAGGUCACGCAUGGUACGAUUAUUCUGGUGUGAAAGCAAGUGUGGAUCCAUCAUGGCCAAAAAGUGCUUCGGAUUGGCUCAGAGUUGUUCCUGCUGGAUUUCGAGAGCUUAUUAAGAAGAUUUCACGUGAAUAUGAUAACCCAACUAUCUUUAUUACGGAAAAUGGUUUCUCUGACAAAUGUUGUACUAUUGAUUAUUUAAGAAUAUCCUACUUGGAUUCUUAUAUGAAAGAAAUGUUAACCGCUAUUCAAAAAUAUGGAUGUAAAGUGAAAGGAUAUACUGUUUGGAGUUUAUUAGAUAAUUAUGAAUGGCAGAGUGGUUAUACAGAACGGUUUGGACUGGUAUAUGUGAACUUUACGGAUCCCAAUCGAACGAGAACUCCAAAACGAUCAAUGAACUGGUAUAAAAAUGUCAUUAAGACUAGGAAACUUUUGAUUGAUGACAUAAUCACAGAUUUUCCGUCACGCUUUUCGGUUAGCGUUUAUAUUUGGCGCGCUUUAGCUCCGCAGUGUGAUUUAGCAGUGUAGCAGUAUGUACUGAGAGUAUGUGGAGUUGCGCUUUCGUAGCCAACAAUCAAGUUUCACCAGAGAAGAAUAUAUUAAAAAUUGUUU
rnacentral:misc_RNA from 1 species